UCUCUCGCUCUUGCAGGCUGUCAGAGCAGAGCAGGCGGCUUGCAGCUGGUGCUCUUUACCCCCUGGAAAGAAUGACUGGACGGAGGCAGCUGGAUCAGGGGUGGCGUCAAUUUGAUUCUGUACCAAGUCUCAUAUAUCUCUGACUGGCCUGAGACUCACUAUGUAGCUGAGACUGGCCCUGAACUCCUGAACUUCCUGCCUUCAUCCCCCUGAAGUUCUGGGAUCACCGUGGCCAGUGUUAUGCAGCUCCAAGGGUAAAACCUGGGACUUUAUGCAAGCCAGACAAGAACUCAGCCAGCGGAGCCCCUGAAUCAGUCACACACUGCUAAGGAACCAAUUUGGAAGGCAGCGCACACGCUCCAGGGAAGACUAUAUCCCAGCAGGAGCUGCGGUUGACUUACUGGAGGCACUUUGCAAGGACCCAGUACCCGCCACUGAUGACAGUGACGAAUGAAGGAGCCUGGCGGACCUCGUGUAGAUGUGAACAGGGACGGUACUGAUCCACAUCCACCCAGAGUAAAAUCGAAGGCUCCAAUUUGGCCUGCUGAACAAACAUAUUUAUGGAGGCUUAUUGAACACAAAAUUAAUUUGGGAGGCAUUAAUCUGCAGAGGACCGGACUGGCAGCUGCACUGGGGCGCUUAAUGGAUGGUAGUAACAAAAUGAGCUGGCUGCCACAACCCUUUCUUUAAAUGAGAAAAUAUGAGCUCCCUCAGGGCGCUGGGGACUCAGAGCCUUCCUCCAGAAUAAUGCAGUCUCCAGAUAGAUCCAGGGGACAAAAGAGAGUCCUGAAGAAUGUAGAACCUCAGAGACCAACAUCCUCAAGUCUAUGUCAGUCUCCAGAUGAUGGACAGCUGCCAUGGGAUGCACCCCACACACACCCCCCGGCUUCUUUGCUGUGCACUGGGCUUGGGGUUUAUUUGCUUCACUCUGUCUCCCAUGUUUGCAGACUGACAUUUUGAGCACCCAGGAACUGUUAGAAAUGUAAACCUACAGGUUCUGCUCCAGAUAGACUGAAGCAGUAAAUAUUGAUGUCUGUAUGCACAUGCACACAGGUAUUUGUCUACAAGUGGGUGUACAUGUGUCUGUGUGGAAGCCAAAGGUCGACCCCGAGCCAUUUCCCAGGCACUGUGCACACUGGUUUUUGAAACAGGGUCUUUCUCUGGGUCUUGAGGUCAAUAAUUAGGCCACCAUGACUGACAGUGAGUCCCAGGGAUUUCCCUGUCUCUUUCUCCACAGGGAUGAGAUCACAGGCAUAUACCACCACACUCAGCCUUCUAAAGUAGGGGCUGGGAAUGGAACUUGGGUCCGUGGCAGAAACAUUUUGAACUCUUAAUCACUGAGCCAUCUCUCCAAGGCAUCUCUCCCUUUAGUCUCUUUAUUUAUUUAUUUAUUUUGG